AGAGAAAGGAGAGUGGAAAAGAGAAAAAUCAGUAUUAAAUAUUUAAUAAUUGCCUUCUUUGUAGUUUUGUUCACACACAAGUGAAUUACUUUUUAACCCUGAGGCUGUGACCCUACUGUGAAUUGCUGAGUUGUUUCCAUAUGUCAUCAAAUUCAUACAGAUCUCUCUUAAAAAUUUCAUUUACAAGAAAAAUUAAAUCUCUUGCCCUGUAGAAAAUAUAAAGGAGAGCACUAAUUUGAGUUCCUUUGCUCUAAUUAAAGUAUUUCUGCCUUUCGAAUGCAAAUGUGCGGUUUAAAUCUGAUAUAUCCUGGGAGAAAACAGUAAAAUGAACUGGGAUAUAGGAAAUAAAAGAUCAAUGUAACUUUCACAGAGGGGGACCUAAUAACUUCUCAUGAAGCCCGAUUUUGCGAGAUUUGGAGCACCUCAGAGAUGUGGAACCUAGAGGUUCCCUGAGUUAUACCCACUGAUAAUGUGAAUAUUUUCUUCUAGAUCUGUAAAGCAAAUUUUGCUGGAUCUCUGGAAAUGGCCUAGAAGUUCCUUUUCAAGCACAGGAAAUAAAGCAGGAAUUAAAGGCAAGAGACUCUGGAAGGAAAAGGCCAGUUACUUUCUUAUGAAGACAGGGAAGAAAGCCUAAACCUCAGCUCACUGUCACUUGGUGGUGAAGAGGAGCAGAGUACUUGCUAUCUUCUAUACAGUGGUGGAAGGGAGGCAGAGGAGGAGUCCAUCCAUCAGUUGGGAUGGAUUAAAUGAAAACUAUGGCUUUAUAGCAGAAGGAGUGAUAAUGACUCCAGAAAAGCACAGAGAAGACCCAGGUACAGAACAAAAGCUGCAGAGACUUUAUCUCUCCAGCUAAGACAGUGGAAAAAAUAGUUUAAUUUCAACAAAAGUCUUAUUUUGGUGUACCAAAUCAGUCAAGCCCACUGGACUUCAGUAGCAACUGAAAAACCUACCACACCCAACAUAUGGUUCCUUUGUUCUCAUUUGCCAGAAGACUAUUUUCUCUUCAGCAUCUAAAGCCAACAGGAUACAGAAGUGACCUUUCACUAAUUUAGGAAGAAGACUUAUAUUUCCUGGCUAAUGUAUGCGUUUUGGACCUGUUGUCAACAAGGUUUUAUUAUUCCUACAAAGCCAGAAAGGGCUAUAAAGGACAUGAAUCAGAAUAAAGAAAAUGUUUUGAACAAAGAGACGCUGAUGUCCUGGGUCACACCCUUCUUUAUCUACGUACAAAUCCUGCGCCAGCUGGGAAACCUCGAGACAGGAGCAAGGACACAUCACUGGAGCAGCUCAUGAACAGUCAGUCGGACACAUCAUGAACAUGCAGGAAACUCUAAAUGUGUUUAUGCUGGACCAAGAACUUUUCCUGUGUGUUCAUCAUGAGUAUGGUCCCAAAAGACAUCUUUCCAAAAAAGUGCUGGGAUAGUGGUAGAGCUCUGUGUGCAUGAGAACCAAGAACUCAUCAGAGUCACCAUAUAGAAAACAAUUUGAAAAAGGACUUAUUUCUGUGUAGCACCCAGCUGCAACAUGGGGUAUCUGCAGCAUCACUAAACAACUAUUGAGAUACCAUUAAACUAUUUCAAUGUGAGUACAGUGGAGCCUUGAGAGGCUGUGGAAAGGGGAUACAUAUUCUGUGUGCAUUUCUCUCUCUCUGUCAGUACUACAUCACUUAUCCAACCAAAACUCAUCAGCAAACCUUCUCAUAAACUCUUAUGCAGACAAUAUUAGGAGUACAAAAUCUUCUCUUAAAUGUUCCCUUGCCAUAAUCCAUAGGCUCUCACAGACCUGCUCUUCAGAUGAAACACUCGUUUUUCAAUCACUAACAAACAGCAGAGGUUGAGCAGAUAACACUGCCCAAAGAUUUUGUGAGCUGAAACACAGACCAGUACUGACCUCAAUACAGAGCAGAGACCUUUAGUAACAUGCAUGAGCAACCUUUCCUACAGUAAGUAUAAAGAGCACCAGUCAUUCAGUAGUCCAAUUAUUCCAUCCCAUGAUAUCAACAUAAAUUAAAAAUUGUGAUAGAUACCAUGUUCAUAUUAUCCAUCCUGAGAAUAUUAAAAUAAUGAGGAUUGCUUAGGAUAAUAAUUCAAUAAAAAAGACAUCAAUUUUAUUGUUACUAUGCCACAACAGAAAAAAUAAAUUCUACUGUCUUUAUAAAAAGCACAGAAUCAAACAUUUCCUUCCAGCUGUUUAAGUAUGAAAAUUUCUAAUUAAAGCAUGGCUGUUGGCUUAUCUAUUGUGUCACUCUUUCUUUUGUUUCUUUAGUCCUAAAUCUCAAAAGUUAAUUAGCAUCUGCAACCAUGUUCUAAUACACCACAUACCUCUGAACUGCUCACUUUUCCCUGUUCAGCACUUUUAAAUAGGUCUCUUAGCUAUCCUGUUUCCUCUAUAGAACUGCUUUCCUCUGCAGUAAUUACUCACUGGCAGUCCACUCAAUGUCCAUGAGGAAUAAAGCAUGAAAAGUCUCAGUCUUCCAAUCAGACAAAGGUAAAAUUUACUAAAUACAUCUGUGCACCUUAUACAAGAUCAGCUACAAGAUCAGUGUACAGAAAAUUUAGGAAUAAAAAACAGUGAACCCUUGUGCUUGUACACAAUUUUUCUGUGAGUGUGUGUAUUUAUAUAUACAUUUAUACAAAAGGCUCAGAAUUUCCUGUGCUUUUGCAUCACAAGCUCAAGGGAGUGGAAAGGAAAGGUGUGGCGUACCAGCAACUAGAACUUCCUGAAAUAUUGACUAAAAUUACUUCCAUGAGGAAGAGAGACAACACAGGCUUUACAGAUAGUAUUUUCUAAAAGCACCCAAGCACUGAAAUUAUCAUGAAUUUAAUUAAUUUACUUCAUCUUCAGUGUGGUAAUUAGCAGAACUAUGUAAAGAAACAGGAAACAGCAUUUUCUUAAAAAUACUCGAGUCAACUCUUGCUUUCAUUCCCAUUGCAGUAUGUGAUACAUUACAAUUAUUUAUAAUAAUUACAAAUACAUAACUAUUACAACUAGAGAACAGCAAAAAAAAAAAAAAUCCCACCUUAAGUACACAUGAAAGGACAAAUCACACUACAGUCUUCAAGAUAACAUGAGAAACAAUGACACACAUCUAAACUGGAGAUCAUGACAGACUGUUUUUUAAACUCAAAAAAUUCUCUGGUUUUGUUUUUAAAAUUAAUUUCUGACUUUUGCAUUACAUAUGGGCUCUUUCAAAACUUAAAUGUUUCUUAUCCUUCUUCAUCCUUAUUCCAAGUAGAAAGCCCAGAAGUCAACUCACCUACUUUGCAGAAGAGAAAGCAAGUUAUAAAUACUUGUCCUGAAUUAGAACUAACUGUGAUGAGACCCUGAGUCUCCCACAUUCAAGCCAAAUGUUCUAAUCACUCAAGGGUGGCUCUCCCUAAAUCCAUAGCUCUUCCUUAAGGUCAAUUUCAUUUUGAAAAAUUUCUAACAAAUUAAUGCUCUCCCUGUAGGUGAGUAAUGUCUUAACCAAAAAUUCAUCUGUGGGACUAUUCAGCAACACCUGAAGAGUUCAAUAUAGGCCAUUUUUAUACCUCUGCCCUUUGUUUUCAUUCUUAGUGAAAUUGUAGGUUACAUUGUGUGCCUCAUAUUUUCCUCACUUCAAAUUAAUUAACUUUGCCUCAUUCUAAAGAAAAUCUACAAACUGGGAAAAAAACCUACAUACAAACUGUGGGGAAAGAAGUCAGGCAUGCUGCAAAAAAGAUCAAAAUACAACAUUACCUGCACUUAAAUUUUUUACUUUACUUCGAUUCUGUCUGAAGUCAGCAUUGAAUCCUAUGCUAUACAAAAGCAUUGCCCAGAUUUAUCAUUAUCUUCUAUGGAAAAAUUAAAGGCAAGUCCAGAUGGUAACAUUUACUUACUCAUCUAUUUGGCAGACACAUGUUUCCACCUCUUUCAGUGCCGCUUGUAAUUUGAACAGCAAUUUUUGAUAGACAUCUUGUGUUUCUAAGUCUUCUUCUUUUAAGAGGUACCUCAGACCAUGGCCCUCUUGCUGACCAAGAGAUUGUCCUGAAGGGGCAGCCAUAGUAGUAAUGGUAUGUUGGACAUAAAUCAUGGGAUUCAGUUUACCUGGGAAUAAUUCAAAGGGAUUUCAUCAUUAUUUUUUGAACAUAUAUUUUGAAGUUAGUAAAAUACCUAACAGACACUGAAAUACUUUUCUGUUUAAAAUUCAUGUACUUAUUUAAUUUUGCAUUUUAUUUGCAUUUCAAAGUCAAGCCAUUUAGGAGAAAGUUAUUGUGAAAUUAUGACUAUCCAUUAUGCUGUGAAAUAAAAGUAAAAAUCAAAAGAAGGGUGAUUUCAGAAAGACUUGUCCUCAAUUUUAAUAUUUUGGCUAUAAACCUAAACUGAUUACCUUUUAAGGCUCUAUAUCAGAAGCAGUGGAAGUAGGUCUUUCAAGCUCAAUUGACCUACCUUGGUCGGUGUUUUUAUUUUCCUUUUCAUGGGAAGAAUGUUUUCUGCUGUCUAACUGUACACCAAAGGCACUACCAAGGGAAGUUGAGGUCUUAGGGUAAGACACUUCCAUCACAUUGAUAUGGCAAUUGGUGGGACAGAAAUCACUGCUGUGAAGUGGUGAAAUCUUUGACUUAGCUUGUUUGAAGGUAGGCCAAGCUCUGUUUUUUAGCACUCUUGAAAACUAGAAGAAAGAAAACCAAAUUUUGAUUAUGAGCUCUUCUUGUGUCUGCAUGUAGCUAACAAUUCUUGUGUACCUAACUAGAAAAUAAAAGCUUAAAAUAUUUCAGUCAGCCUUGACUUAAGAUGUCUUGACUUUGCAAUUUGCAUCUUUCUCUAAAAAGGAAAGAAAAAUGUUUUUCAUUUUACAUUUUUAAGGGAUUUUUUUUUUAAGCAAAUGACAUUUUAAGAAGUAAAUAGCUUUGUAACAGAGAGAUAGAAUUUAUUUCCCAUGGAACAUAAUAAAAAGUGUCUUUCUGGGGAGUAAGUCUGAAACUGCUGUACUGCUCAUGACAUUUAUAAACACCUGUCAACAUUUCCAAGCCAGUAUUUUUCAAAAACUCAUGAAAUUGUUGUCAGAAGCUAUAAUGAAGACAAAAUCAGAAUGUAUAAAUUCUGGAUUUCCUGAUCAAGAAGGAGGAAGUCCUCUUUAAUUAUAUCUUAUCCUCCUGCAUUAGGAGAAGCAUUGCCAGGGGUUGAAGGGAGGUGAUCCUGUUCUCCUCAGCACCAGUGAGGCCUCCCUGGGUCCCAGUCUGGGCUUCACAGAAUAGACAUGGGCAUAUUGGAGAGAGCCCAGUGGAGGUGAGCCCUCUGAGAUCCUUCAGGGACUGGAGCAUCUCUCCUGAGAGGUAAGGCUGAGAGAGCUGGGACCCCUCGGCCUGAAGAAGAGAAAGUUCAGGGAUUAACACAUCAAUGUAUAUAAACACCUAAAGGAAUGAUGCGAAGAGGACAAAGCCAGGCUCUUUGCAGUGCUGUCCAGUGCCAGGACCAAAGGCAAUGGGCCCAAACUAAGCACAGGAGUUUCCGCUGAAUGUCAGGAGACUUUUGCACUGUGAGGGUGAUUGAGCACUGGCACAAGUUGCUCAGAGAGGUUCAGGGAAGAGAGGUAAGAUCUCCCUCCUCAAAGAUGAUCCUGGGCAACCAUCUCUAGGUGGCUCUGCUUAGGCAAGGUUGGAUGGACAAGACCUGCAGAGAUACAUUCCAGCCUCAACCGUUCUUCUAUUUUGAGUGACAUUAGGAAGCUGAUGAGCACUAAUAGAUAAAAACUGCAAAAACCCCAUUUUACAGACUUUCCUAGCUCAGCACCCCUUCUUCCCCCCUAUAUAUCAGCUCAGCAAUGAGGAAUGCUUUUUAUGGUCUAAUUCUAAUACAGUGCUUAGCCACAUCUCCUUGACUCUAACAUCUUAAAUUUUGUGCAGUGUCUUGAAUAGGCUUAGAGUUAUUUGGUUUUUACGACGAGAAGAUGUCAACCCAAAAUGGUGAGGACUGAACUGAACACUCAGCAACUACAUCUGUGUCAGAAUCAAGUAAUGAGAUCAAGCUCUUCAAUUGGAAAAGAGAUUUGUAGGAUUUUUGUCAAUAUGUGUCAAUUCCGGUGCAGUUUGUGGUCAGGGGAGGUUUUUUUCUGGAAAGAUGCAUUCAGUGUUUUAAUCACAAUAUCUCUCUAGUCAAAAUAUUACACAGACCUACUUCAGCUUUGAACCACAGCUCAUGCAUAAGAAUAUUUUCAAAGUUAACUUGCAAAGCUUCUUCACUAAUAAAUGUCAGAAAAAUUCAAAACAGUCAAUUUUUUACUAACCCUUCAGUUGAAUUAAGACACAUUCCUUCUGCAAAGUAAGAUGUUUCUGUAUAGGGACUUAAAUUUCUGUUUAUUUUGGUAUCAUAUUACUUCAGUCUGAUGAAUGCUUUUAGAAAUAAUUACAUUUAAAUCUUUAGAUCACAAGAAGAUCUGGAGGGUUACAAGAAAUCCAAUUAUGGAGUUGUUCAAAGGCUGAAGAAUGUACAAAUUGUUAAGAAGGAUACUAAGGACAUUCAAUGAUGAAAAUGUUUCUGCAAGCAGUACAUAUUUCACAUCUCAAUCUCCCACACAUCCUGCUCCAGAGAGACCAAAUACUGGCUAUGAUUUAAUCAGGUCAUAAGUCAGGACCAAAAUUCUUUUCAUAUAUGUGUUGAGAAACAUCUGGGACUCAUGGCACUGGAAUUGAGGUCUAAUUGGAGCAAAAUGUUCUGAUAAUAAUAAUAGUAGGAUCUGCAGAAAUCCACAAGAUUUUAUUUAUAGAAUUCGAACUUUCACAGUAAAACCAGGAGCCAAGCUGGGCUCAUGCACUCCAAAAGUCUCCUGUAACUAUGGUUACCUUUACCUUGCCAAGGAAGUGACACAUCUAUUCCUGAAAUCCACUGCAUUACUAAUUGUCAUUAAAAGCUGUAACAGUGAAACUACUGAUUUUUGAGCAGAUGAGAUUUGAAGUGCAGUCUGUAUCAGGAAUAUCUGCUUCUAGACAGUGCAAGAACUAUGAAAACUUCCCUGAGGUUGUUUGUUUCACAUCCAGCAAGCACAACAAAAUUUGAUUUACUGUCUUGGCCUCCUCUGUAGAGGCUAUAUAUCACAGUCAAAUUUUUCAGCUACAGAAGACAUAUAAAUCACCUGCAUGUUACUUGAACUGUAACUGUUAAUAUGAAAACUAAUUAGUUUUUGGGUUUUUUUUAAAUUUCAUUUUAAAGUGUAACCAGAUUGGAAAUAUGGAUGUUUGUAAUUCAGGCAAACAAUGGAGAGGUCAGAUUUUUGCUAAAGCAGUAUCUGGAUUCUUUUGAUGUCUCCAUUAACACAACUCAUUUAUUCCAUUUCUUUUUAGAGAGCACCUGGAGAAGUCUGACAAGCUGCUUUUUGACCAUCGUCCUACUGAAUACUGAGCUACAAGUAUUCCUAACAGUUCUCCCUACUUUCCUUUGAAAACUGAAAAAUCAUCCUCUAGCCUUUUAUAGGCAGCUUCUGCAAAUGUGUGAAGCUUCUGUAUUCACUUUCCUUUUCCUUUGCUUUUUCUUCUUUUCAAAUUUUCAUGCCUUAACUCUCAGAACAGACCAGUUUCUAAAUGUCACAACUCAGAUCCCCAAAUGAGGCAAUACAGGGCAGACCCACUUUUUUGCAGUCAUUUUGAGCCAGCUUCAAAGUAAUUCACCUCCCCACAAUUAGGUUCCAUGAGAGAGGAACUAAGAGUCUGGAUGAGAAAAUGAUUUUGCAUUAAAAAGAUGGCAAAUGGUUGAUUCAUUUAUACCCUGCUUACUUAAACAACUAUAGAAAAAUGCACUGACAGCAAUUAGAGGUCAUAGUUUGGGCUAUUUAUUCAUUCACAUACCAUUAAUUUAGAUCUCAAGCAUAUGAAAAUCAGUGCCUUCUCCAUUUUCCAUGCUAUUAUGUUUUAUUAAACCAAGUGACGCUAACAAUUUACAGAGAUGGUACUAUUAACAGAAAUGCUAGGGCCUAAAAGUUGAAUAAAAGGGUUACAAUUUGGUAUUUGUCUUGCACUAGAAAAAAAAAAACAACCCAAUUCUGUUGUUAUUGCUACAUUUUUGGUUAACAUCUGCAAACUCACUAGAGUAUUGUUUAAGGCAUUUACAAGAAUGACGGCUCCUUUGCGGAAAUGUGCAGUUGAUUGUCUCUACAACUGAACACAGCAAACAAGAAAGAAUACAAACUACCCAAAGUCUAAAAAAGGGAUAAGAAAGAGAAUAGCCUGAAAACAAUUGAUGCAAUUACUCAAUUAAGGCAUUCAUGCUUCAAAAUAGCUAAACUUUCAGCCACAUUUUUGUCACUGCCAUAGAGACUCUGAAGAGUUAUUCAAACUGUACCACAUUCCCGUUUCUUCCUUUAAAGACAAAUAUAAUCAAGUUUAGGACAUGCAGGUCAUACCUUUUUAUAGCUAGAGAUUCUUCUGUAGAUAUGCUCAAUCUUCUCACUGCAAAUGACACUGAAUUUACUUUGAAGUUCAGUGGGGAUCACGUCAUUUAAGGAAUUGAGGCUGUUGCAAUUCUGCACAAAAUUUUCAUCACUUUUUGCCAGUGCUUCAAGAAUCUAAGAUAAUAAAAACAUGAAAAAUAUGUAAUGAGAUUAAGUUGACUAAAGUAUCCCCUUACUAAUCAUAAUUAAAUCUUUUAACUAAAGCUGAAAAGCCUGCUAACAUUACAGAAAAUGGUGCACAACAACAAUGAAUGAAGCUUGGGAUGCAAAGAGAUUUUCUUAAAUCUAUUCCCUGCUAAAUUAUACCCAUAAGUAUUUUUGCUUGGCUUCUCAUGACAUUGUCUGAUAAUGGAUUUACUACUAAUUUCCUACUAAUGUAACCACCAUAGCUCCUCUGAAAUACAUUAUCUGCUGUAUUUACUUGAUCAGCACAUAUUAUGCAGAUCUGCUGAAUUAAUUCAUUCAUUACUUCUAGAAAACCUUUGGCUUGGAAGAAUACUAACACAUUGAAAAAGCAUAAAAGAAAACUGAGUGGAAUCUUCUUGUAUAUUCUGCCUAAAAAAGCUAGGAAAUAGGGCACAGAAUAAGCUGUACUGCUCAGGAAAGACUGAAGCCUUGCUAUAAUGGUGAGAGAAAAGUAAUUAAAAGGCAUGUUCAAGAGAUGAAGGUAAUAUAUAGCAUUUAUAGAUAUUUCAGUGGAUCUUGGACUUUUUUUCAAGUUUUAUAUGAUAAUUUAGAAAUAAGAGAGUGGAAGACUUUUUAGACCUUUUAAUAUUUUUUUUUAGAUUUAAGGCUCAAUUUAUAAUGACAACAUAACUCUUUUUGCCUCCUGAGCACACAAUCAUCCUCCAAAACAUCAGAGAGAUAUAGGUGAGCAAUUAUAAGGUAUCAAAUGAAAGACAUAUAAUCAUAAGAGUCAAAAAAGACACAAGUUUCUCCAUUGGUAUUAAACACAAUAAGCAUCAACAUGCAAAAAAUGCUUCAUACCUUUGCAGUCAAACUGAAAAAUCCCUUUGGUUCAAUCAUUUUUUCCAAGACAUGGCACUUUAUUCCAGCUGUGCUGUCAUACUCAUAAACCACUCCAUACUCCAGAUGAACAUUGUCAACAGUCAGACUUACAUGAUCUUUCUUCCCAUCAAUUAUUGCCAUAGUGUUAAAUUUGUCAAUUACCUCUAGAAUAAAUAAAAUAACACAAAUCAGUUGACAAGUCCUGGCCAUUAAAUGAACUAUAAAGGACACAGGCAAACAUUCUAAAAAGAGGUAUGUUCUGAUCAUUCUAUUUAAAAACAUUCAUUUAAAAAACCUGGCUGAAAAAUAUAAAAAUCAGAACACCUGAUCUACAGUCAGUAGACUUGUACAUAUUAAAAUACUGGACUGCAAAACAGGCAGUACUCCUUCUUUACAAACAGUUAUUUAAGGGGGAUAAUUCCAUUUCAUUUAUAAUCCAAAGACAUUAAGAAGGACCCAAAAAAGGGGAAAACUGUGAAUUUCUAAAUAAAGGAGAAGAAUAUCACUAUGAAAACUGUCAACAUUCAGAAAUGAAACCACAAUAACUGCAUUUAUGAAUGCACAGUUCAAGUAUUAACUGCCUCUUUAAUUACAAGUUGCAGAUGAAUGCAGUUUCAUCUAAACAUUAAUUGCCUGAAAAUAAACUGAAGGAUAGUUGUGUUUUUAUUUCCCAUGCAGUAAUGACUAAUGUAUCUAGUUUGCCAUAAUGAUUACUAGGGGUGAAAAUAAAUCAGGUAAUGCCUACGUUUAUAUUUAUUACAAAUGAAAACAAACAGAUUUUCCCAAAGUGUUCACAGAAGUAUUUUCUCUAAAUGGGAAAGAUAGUCAUUUUCAAAGAAUAGCACGUUAAAUUUAUAUGUUUAUAAUAUAUAAGAAAACAAAUGCUUAUGUAAAUCACAUCUUAUGAUCUGCUCAAAAUUUCCUCUCUGCAAAUAAAUCCACUGCCUACAUUUUCCUUGUAUUAUAAUAGCAUUCUCAGGAACAGCAAUAUCAAACAAGCAUCAAUACCUUCCACUUUACAGUCAAAGGCAUCGCCUCCAUCAUCUCCAGAGGGUUUGGUGUUUGUUUUCUGAAGAUCUUCCUGUGCACUUUCAAUGCUGUUGUAAACCCACUGUAUAGAAUCUUGCUAGAAAAACAACAAAAAAAAGACAGCUAGAAAAAGCUUUGCAAAAGCAACUGAUAGCAACUAUUUCACUAUUUUUAAGGCCUAAGUAAAAAAAAAAAAAAAAAAACAACCAAACAAAACAAAAAAAAACCCAGAGAUUUUUGGCAUUGUAUAAAACCAUUCUAAGAAUAUUGGCAAGUUAUUUUUUAUUUCAGUAUAUACUGUCAUGAGACAAUACGAAGUCUGUGACAGCAUGAUAUCUAUCAUCUUUACUUCAUUGCCAAAAAUAAUUUAAGACAUUUCAAAUCAAAUUGCAGAUUGAAAAAUAUUUUUCCCCAAGAAAUCAUGGGGAAAAAAACAAUUUUUGAUUUGCAAAUUCUGCUGUGCAUCCACAAAUCUGGUAGCAAAAGUUAUGGAACAUCAACCAAAGACAGAAAAUGUCCAGUUAAUCCAUCACCUUGUGUCACUGGCACAAAGAACCUGAACUACAGCCUUCAUUACUUACAUUUGCCUGUAUUACAAAUAUUUUACUAGUGUAAUAAUAAUUUUUUUCCCAGAGAUUAGCAUCCCUCGCAGACCCCCAAAAGUAAAGAACCACAGCUUCUGUGGCUGACACACGAGCACAGCAAUAGAGGCUUAUAUGUGUCAUACAACCUUUGAAGAAGCCACAUGUAUGUCACAUCUUCUACCCAGUCUGUAACUCAGCCACAGGUCCAUCAGACCCUUGUGAAAGGUCCUAUCAAACAUGGCAUCCCCAGAUUACUCUUUGUUCCUUACACUUCAAAACAAACUUGACAAGUUAGUUAAUCACUCCUUCUGCAACAGCUACAGCAGAAAAAAUGACAUGAAUAUGACAAACCUGAAUUCAAAAAUAAGUUCACAGAAGAAUUUGAAGUUAAGCAAGGACAGCAAACAUUUAGACUGUUAAAAUCUUCAUGAAAAGUGCCACAUACAUCCAGUUAUCCUUUGCUAAAAUGCAACAUCAGCUUCUAUUUUUAUCCCAUUGGUAUGGUUUCUCUAGGUUUCUUAGGUUCAUCUGUGCCUUGCUUUUCACUCAACAGCAUGAAAUAUUUUAAUAAGAAAGCUUAACUUUCAGAGCUCUGUGUUGAUUGCUGGAAGAGACCUGUGCAGAAGCUGAUCAAGAAGAAUGCUUCUGAAAUCCACACUUCACCUCAAAGCUUGGUGCUUAGUUAUGGAUUCUUACAGACUUACUUGGCAGCAUUGAGACUGCCAUGCCAAUAUCUAAUAGGAAAUACUAACAACUUAACCUGGAAGUCCCUUUUCCAAAAGUUAACAACCAAUCUAAUGCCAUAUGACUCAAAGCAAUGUUCUUCAAAAUCAUUACAGAAGAUGCAACUAAGCAUAAGUCAUGAUUAGUAUCACUGAAAAGAAAUUGUAAUUCCAAGAAGCAAAAUCUGGUCUCAAUUUUCUUUAUUCAGACAAGACAGAGGAUAAACAGUGUCCAACAGAAAUUACGCAGUUAUUGACCAAAGGAAUCUGAAAUGAAGCUUCAUGCUCCAGGCAAUUAGGAAGACUUCUUACCCUAAGAAGUAAAAGAUAUAAGAAACAGCAAAAGAUUCCCUUCAAUUAUGCAAUUGGGAACCACAGGAGAGACUGCAAUAUCCUGGGUAAUUAAAUGAUAGGCUGUGUGCACUGUACUUACAAAAUAGGAGAAAUCCAUAUUCAUCUUCCAAAUAAUAAUUUAAAAACCCCACCAUAUUUCUGAAUAAGGAAUUAAAUUUUAGCUAUCUUUUCACCAGUGGGAAUACUACCAUUUACUUCAGUCUACACAAUUCUCCCAUAGUUUUUGAUAAUACUACAUCCUAAAUGAAGUUUUUCUUGUCUGUCUGAGGAACUUCAGUUAUCUGUGAUUUGCUGAAUUAUGAUCAACUACUUUUUAAAACUGAAAUAAAUACUAUGUAUAGGAAAAAACUUCAAGUUAUUAUACAAGUUGAUUAAAAAAAGCCCAAAGUAAUUUUUUAAUGUCAAGGCAUUCACACCAGCCAACAUUAAUCAAUGGUCUUUGGAUGUCACUAAUAUCCAUAGGGAGUCUACACUUAUACACAGAGAGAACAAAACUGCUGUAAUGAAUUUAAUUUAUCUUUUAUUCUAGCCAGCUUUGCUACUAGUGAACAGGACAUCUUCUUUAAUCUUCCUUUAAAGCAUAGGUGAGUUUGAUCUCAAUAUGUCAUGUAACAAUUUCAAUGCUGUAUUAUCAUUUAAACACAAACAUCCCAAGAACAUUUUCAUACAGACUGUAUUUAUGUGACCCAGUUCUAACUAUAUAAUUCUUAUAACUAUGCUGUAAGUGUGGGAGAAGGAUUCGACUCUUGCUUUUAAUUGGAUUUUUCUCCUCAGUAAACACAUACUUGAAGAGUUUGUUUGUGAAGUUAAUUAAUAAUAUUGGUUCCAGUUUAUGAAAAACUUGCAGAGAAUUGGAAAAUUACAUUACACAAUCCAGCUUGGUUUGGUUUUCUUCCUAAAUUUGUAUCUUGGAAGCCUGAGAUUUUCUCCUUAAGUAGCAUGUGAAAGAUAAAAAAAUUUGAAUGCAUGUAGAAAAAGGAACUUUUGAGUCCUUGAAUAUAUUCUUAUUCUUAAGACUGGAAUGCAAUGGAAACUCUGACUUUUAUGGAUGGAACUGCACUCUGUGAACCGAAGUGUAACAAAAUUCGGUUUUAUGCACUUCAUCCUCCUGCUGCUGAGCAGGCAGAAAGCUGUGUGAUUCUCUCUCCAUCAAGAUAGGAAUACACCUCAAAAUUCUUUCUGCAUAGGACUUCAGAAUUGCUUGAAAUAGAUAAUAAAAAUUGUCCAUGAUAUUUAAUUCAAUGCAGAAACUAAGCAGAUUUUGAACAUUACUAUUGAGCAAUCUUCAGCUUUUACACCUCAAUUGGCUUCCCUUCAGUUUUAUUCACCACGUCUUUCCUGUCACCCCACUCAAACACAGCAGAUAUAUGCAUAAGAGAUUAACACUACAUUGUUUACUUUGACCAAAAAUAGAAAUCCAGGAGAAAAUGUACAAGGGCACCAAAGGAGACAUACCUGCAUUGGCCUCCUGUACUUCCUGCAGGCUGUGACAUGAGCAAUAACACUUGCAUGAGUCUCUUUGCUGACAUUAAUUCCAUUCACUUUGAUUAUGCACUGGCCAGGGUGAAGACCUGCUGCAGCUGCCACUGUUCCUAUUAAUAAAAACCCACAUAGUUAGCAGACUUCUUUUUCUAAACAUCUCCUUUCAAGAUUACAGUCCAAAAAAUCUUUUUUUAAAAAUCAGAACCUGGUCGGACUGAUCCUUACAUACUUCCCUUGACCACAGAGUACUUCUGUAGACCAGUUGGAUGCCAAGAAAAUGGAUUUUGCCAGCAGAUGUUUCCAUAAAAGAGACCAGACAAUUUCCUAAAGGCUGCUUUAUAAAACAACAUUGACUAGCAAUAUGAAAAUGUAGAAAAUUCACCUCAAAGAAUAAAACUUUAAAAGGAUAAAAUGGCUCUAACUUGAAAGUCACUAAUUACAACUUAGCCUACUUUUAUAUAACCCAAGCUUAUGAGCUUCUUGUUUAAUUCAGGUGUUUCAAUUUUACAUACAAAACAGAGGUUUUCUGGCAAUACAUAAAGUAUAAGAUAAGACUCUAGUAUAAGACUAUAGUAUAAGAUUCUAGAGUAUCAUGUUAAUCAUGAAGUGAAAUAUCUAAAUUCCAAAGACAUUUCCAAAGAUGCUGCUCUUUUUUUCAUCUUCCCUGCCAAUGCAAUUAUAGUAGAGGGCCUUAGAGCUUUAAAUCAAAAUCUCAAAGACAAUUAAGUAGAAUACCUCAAAUUAAAUUAUGAGAGGGUGGGACAGGGGGACACACACAACAUGACACCAAAACAAAACAUUUCCUUUAAGCAAUAUAAAUAUUUGGUUCAGUGAUUUAUUUUCACAAUUGAAUAACCCCGUUGGGAAAAUCUAGUUGCUGAAUAGGCACUACAAAAAGAGGUGCUGUCCCCAGUGCAAUUCAGACUCACUCCUGAAAGACAGCCUGCUGGAGUAUGGCCUUAAUUCCAGCUACCUGAACAUUUGCCUCCAAAUGUCUCUUGAUACUGCCACAGAGGUGCCAAAGAAGUUAAAAAUCUACUGCAUAGAGACUGGCAGACUGGGUUGCAGAAGCUAGGGGCUGUGAAAGAAAAGGCUAGACUGAAUUUGCAGGGCUGACAAAUAGAAAACUUGACACGACUUCAUGACUUGCCCGUUGAGUAUAUUUGACAAGGAAAUAACUUGCAGAAUAUACAUGAGCUUCCCUCAUUUUAGGAAUUAUCACUAUUAGGUUAAAGCUGCAUUUAAAAUGUAAUAUAAAAUAAAUUAAUUGGAAAUUACAGUAUUACCAGCUAUUGCAAUCUCCCCUCCCCCAAAAAAGACUUAAAAAUAAACAUAUAAAUAGAUCUUAUUUAAUAUCUUUCC